UGAAGCGCCUCAUUCUCAGGCUUUUUGUUAAUUCUUCCCCCACCUCCACCUUCUCUUCAUCCCACCGUCAUCUUCGUUUCUUUCUGCUUCCUCCGGACCGAGCCGCCGCCCUGCCGCCCCCUCCCUCCCCCUGCCAGGAAGCAUCCUGGGUAAUUUCCUCUCUUAUUGAAUUGGGACGGGGGAAGAUAAAGGAGUGCUAAUGGAGGAUGGCAAAUCUGCAGCUCCUUCCUCCUCCUGUCUCUGGGGUAAAAGUACAAAUGCCCCUCGCUGCCUCUCCGGCCCAGACAAAAGGCGAUGACCUUCUUCUUCUUCUUCGUCUUGUUCUGUUUUCUUUCCUUUCAGGAUGCUGCUGAGGCUUUCCAUGGAGUCGCUGUGAACCCGAUGCUCCCUCAGUCCUCUCCUGUUUCUAGAGGACGAUAAUGAGGAACAUGUCAAUAUGUCAGCGAGAACCAAUUAGAGCUCUGACCGAACGGACCGAUCCACCGGUGGAGGACGACGGGAUCACCGACGACACGACGGAAGAAAAACAACGGCAGAAAAAACAAUGGAAGAAGAAACAACAGAAGAGCGUCGAGUAUCGAACCCAACGUGUGUUUUCAGGUAUCCAGAGGGCGAGGCAGACAGACGGACAUAUAGAUCGGCAUUCCCGGAUAAAUUGGCACUUGUGCGUCCGUCUCUCCUCGGCUAAUUAAGUCGACGCUCAGAGGCCCGGCUUAAUUGGAACGAGCUGCGUUAUCUCUGCACACACACAGCGACACACACACAGCGACAUACACACACCGACACACACACACCGACACACACACUGGGAGUAUGACUGACAGCAGAGUGUGAGCUGCUGAUAGUCGCAGAGCUGAUGUGGGAACAAUAUGGAAGAUCCUAAAACCACAACCCCCGCUGAUCUACGUACACCCACACACAAAUGACCUAUACACAAACCACCAAUAUACAAACCAUCAAUACACAAACUACCCAUACUACACAAACCACCUGUAUACAAUAAAUCGAGCCACAAACCGUCAAUACACAAAUCAUCAAUACACAAACUGUCCAUCCACCCACCAUAGAUCCACCAACCAUAGAUCCACCAACCGUAGAUCCACCAACCGUAGAUCCACCAACCAUAGAUCUACCAACCGUAGAUCCACCCACCAUAGAUCCACCAACCAUAGAUCCACCAACCAUAGAUCUACAAACCAUAGAUCCACCAACCGUAGAUCCACCAACAGUAGAUCCACCAACCGUAGAUCCACCCACCAUAGAUCCACCAACCAUAGAUCCACCAACCAUAGAUCCACCAACCAUAGAUCCACCAACCAUAGAUCUACCAACCGUAGAUCCACCAACCAUAGAUCCACCAACCAUAGAUCUACCAACCGUAGAUCCACCCACCAUAGAUCCACCAACCAUAGAUCCACAAACCAUAGAUCUACAAACCAUAGAUCCACCAACCAUAGAUCCACCAACCAUAGAUCUACCAACCGUAGAUCCACCAACCAUAGAUCCACCAACUGUCAAUACACAAACCAUUGAUACACAAACCACCAAUAUACAAAAAGUCGACCCACAAACUGUUGGUUCACAAAUCAUCGAUCCACCACCUGUUGACACACAAUCUGUCGAUCAACAAACCAUCAAUCCACCAACCUAUAAACACACAAAAUGUUGAUACACAAACUGUAUACAUUUCAAAAAUCCCCAAAUUAGGAAGGAAGUUGGUUUUGUGAAGUGGAUAAUAGAAGUUUUCUACCUGUCAAAGAUCCUUCUGUCCCAUAUUUACCCGGCAAGAAAUAUCCUGAUUUUGCAAAUCAACUGGCAGGAUUGAUUUCUAGAAAUACUGCAUUUACCAACUAGUCUUUACAUCGACACGGUGGAUUAGUUAAACAACGGUCCAGAAGAACUGUGUUCAUGUUGAGGUGACAGGGUACUGCAGAUGAAGGAAACAUUGUAAGAAGGAAGAGAUGUAACAAAGAGCUGUAGUCAAUUAAAGAAAGACUUUGAAAUCAUAUUGGCUCUUCAACGAGCUGAUUGGUUGCAGGGAGAAAAAAAAAUCUGCAUUUGAUCUGCAGAAGAAUUAAAAAGACCAGAGAGUUCUGAGAGUUUCUACCUGCAGCCUUAUUAUCCAACAGUAAUUCUACCUCAACAUGAAAAGCUUUGAACCAGUCUGAGACCAGCUGCACAGAUUCAUCUGAUUCCCGAAAAUACAUCAACCGAUGAUGCAGCACAAGAACUCUGGAGGAAUCAAACACAAGCUAGCUGCUGUUUAUAGAUGAUCUACAUGCUGGUUGUUGAGUUGUUGAUACACAAACUGCUGACUGCAAAGUCUAAACUCCACUUUUUGUUCAUCCAUUGGGGUAAAACAAUGCAGAAACACCAACACCACCUCCACGGAAAUGUACAAAGAACAUUAAAUCAGUUAGAUCAGGUUGGGCCAAUCCAAAGUUGUGAAAACAUGGGGGUGGUCACAGGUGGUUUGUUCCUCUUGCUGCUAAAAAUAAUAGAUUAAUCCAGAAUGUGUUGAUGUAGAACUUUUCUCCAUAUGUCAAAACUGCAUUUAAAGACUCUGUAACCAGUUAGAAUUAGAUUGGAGACUACGGUUCAGUUUAAUGUUAGCACCUCAAUAUCUGCUAUGGGAGGAGGUCGGGGUGGAUGGAUGGGUCAACAAUAUGUCAGGAUUCAUCACAGGAAGUCGAUGUUUACGCUGUUGUUUCCUACAAAACAGUCAACGUUGGAUUCUUUUACCCAACAACUGUUUUCUAACAUCUAUCAGCACUGAUUUCUAGGUUUUAUCAAAGCAUGUUGAUGAAUCAACCAGCAAACGUGGAGACUACAGUUAGCUAUAAUGUUAGCACCUCAAUGUCUACUAUGGGAGGAGGUCGGGGUUGAUGGACGGGUCAACAGUAUGUGAGGAUUCACCGCAGGAAGUUGAUGUUUGCUCUGUUGUUUCUUUAAAAAAAUGUCAAUAUUGGAUUAUUUUACCCAACAACUGUAUUCUAGUCUUUAUCCACACUGGUUUCUGAUGUAUAUAUUGCACAUAUAUUUUCAGUAUUCUACAUUUUGCUCGUCAGAUCUGCAAAUUCACUUUCAGUUCAUUUGAUACUGUUAGUCUAUUGUUGAUUCUCCUACCUUUGUAUCAAUUCUCAGUUAAUAUUAUGUAACUCUUUGGGAACAACACACAAAAAAGAAGCAAUAACAAGAUGAGAGAACAACCUUAAGGGUAGUUCUAGAGGAAAAUUGCAAACAACAUAUUUUCUCAUUGAAUUGAAUAGAUUUGUUGAUAUGACGACGCAUCUGUAAUUUUUCUCCAUAUCAAAGUUGUGUUUAAAGAUUCUCAAACCAAUAAAAAUUAGGCUGUAUCAAAGCAUGUUGACCAACCAACCAACAAACCUGGAGACUACGAUUCAGUUUAAUGGUAGCACCUCCAUAUCUACUAUGGGAGGAGGUCGGGGUGGAUGGACGGCUCAACAAUAUGUGAGGAUUCACCACAGGAAGUCAAUGUUUGCUCUGUUGUUUCUUAAAAAACAGUCAAUAUUGGAUUCUUUCACCCAACAACUGCUCUUUAAAAUGUAUCUGCACUAAAUUCUAAUGAAUAUAUCGCACAUAUAUUCUCAAUAUUCUAUAUUUUACUUGUCAGAUCUGCAGAUUUGCUAGUAAUUAACUCGAUACUCCCAGUCUAUUGUUGAUCAUUUAACCAAUUUAUCAAUUUUGAGUUAAUUUUCUGCCACUAUUUGGGAAGGAACACAAAAAAGAAGCAACAAGAUGAGAAAACAGCCAUAAGUGGAGUAUUUUCCCAUUUAAUUCAGUUUGUUGAUGUGAGGACGCAUCUCGAUUUCUGAUUUUCUUCAGAUCGUCCCUUCUAUCUCUGCAGUAACAUACCAUUAUAUUCAUGUUAAAACCAGAAGAAAUCAAUUUAAUUCUAAACUGUUCCAAUGAUCUUUUGCUGUCUUUCCACACCAUUUUACAUUGAAUGUUUUUGGAGUUUUUUGCUGCUGAUUGGGGAAAAUAUACACAUUUUCUCAACUAAAUGUGUGAUUAAUUGAUCUACCUUGAAGCUAACUGAUAAUGAGCGACUCGUACUUUGACUGACUUGCAUCACGAUGAGCUCAUUUUGAUUCCACAUGUAUCAGGAACCUUUCUGUUCUUGAAAAACGAGAAUAAAACCUCAGUUUUUGC